UACGUAGGGUGCAAGCGUUAAUCGGAAUUACUGGGCGUAAAGCGUGCGCAGGCGGUUUUGUAAGUCUGUCGUGAAAGCCCCGGGCUCAACCUGGGAAUGGCGAUGGAGACUGCAAGGCUAGAGUGUGUCAGAGGGGGGUAGAAUUCCACGUAUAGCAGUGAAAUGCGUAGAUAUGUGGAGGAACACCGAUGGCGAAGGCAGCCCCCUGGGAUAACACUGACGCUCAUGCACGAAAGCGUGGGGAGCAAACAGG
rnacentral:rRNA from 1 species